CAGGCACUUCUGUCCAAUGAGAUAAAGCAGGAGGAAGGUCUAUCUGAUCUCAGGUCGCCUGGUGUGGAGCUCCUUCCUGCCUGCGGAGCACAGACAGAAGAGAGGUGAAGGAGUUGGACCCAAAGGAGAGUUGGACCCAAAGGAGAGUUGGACCCAAAGGAGAGUUGGACCCAAAGGAGAGUUGGACCCAAAGGAGAGUUGGACCCAAAGGAGAGUUG